rnacentral:lncRNA from 1 species
AGAGAGAGAUUCUAAAUGGGAUGUCUCCAUCAAAUCCCUCCUCAGAGCUUAGAGAACCCUCCAGAAGAGGAGGAGGAAAUAGUCUUAAGAGUCAGAGGGUUUGGAGGACACCAGAAGAACACGGACCUCUGAAUCAACUAAACAAGGCUCAUAUGAGCUCACAGACUGUCGCAGCAAGCACAGGACCUACAGAGUCUGCACCAGAGUCCCAUGUAUCCCUAAGGGUCUGGCCUCAAGCUUGCUAUAUGGCUAAGAAUGACUUCUGCUUGUCCCACCUCCAUCUCCUAAAUUCUGAGAUUACAGGCCUGGGAAAAGUUCACAGUGAUCUACUUAGGUUAUCUGAUGAACCCAAACAUGGAUUAUAAAGAAACCAAUCUGGGCAGCAGCUCCUGGAGAAGCACAGAAAAGAAAAACAAGAAAUGAAUGAAGA